rnacentral:rRNA from 1 species
GAUGAACGCUGGCGGCGUGCCUAAUACAUGCAAGUCGAGCGAACAGACGAGGAGCUUGCUCCUCUGACGUUAGCGGCGGACGGGUGAGUAACACGUGGAUAACCUACCUAUAAGACUGGGAUAACUUCGGGAAACCGGAGCUAAUACCGGAUAAUAUAUUGAACCGCAUGGUUCAAUAGUGAAAGACGGUUUUGCUGUCACUUAUAGAUGGAUCCGCGCCGCAUUAGCUAGUUGGUAAGGUAACGGCUUACCAAGGCGACGAUGCGUAGCCGACCUGAGAGGGUGAUCGGCCACACUAGAACUGAGACACGGUCCAGACUCCGACGGGAGGCAGCAGUAGGGAAUCUUCCGCAAUGGGCGAAAGCCUGACGGAGCAACGCCGCGUGAGUGAUGAAGGUCUUCGGAUCGUAAAACUCUGUUAUUAGGGAAGAACAAAUGUGUAAGUAACUAUGCACGUCUUGACGGUACCUAAGCAGAAAGCCACGGCUAACUACGU